CCCGAAAAGNACCCCCACGUUCGGAUUGUAGGCUGAAAUUCGCCUACAUGAAGCUGGAAUUGCUAGUAAUGGCAGGUCAGCAUACUGCCGUGAAUACGUUCCCGGGCCCUUGUACACACCGCCCGUCACACCAUGAGAGUUGGGAAUACCCGAAGCCUGUGAGCUAACUUAUAGAGGCAGCAGUCGAAGGUAGAAUCAAUGAUUGGGGUGAAGUCGUAACAAGGUAGC
rnacentral:rRNA from 1 species